rnacentral:rRNA from 1 species
GAUGAACGCUGGCGGCGUGCCUAAUACAUGCAAGUCGAGCGAACAGAUAAGGAGCUUGCUCCUUUGACGUUAGCGGCGGACGGGUGAGUAACACGUGGGUAACCUACCUAUAAGACUGGAAUAACUCCGGGAAACCGGGGCUAAUGCCAGAUAACAUGUUGAACCGCAUGGUUCUACAGUGAAAGGCGGCUUUGCUGUCACUUAUAGAUGGACCCGCGCCGUAUUAGCUAGUUGGUGAGGUAACGGCUCACCAAGGCAACGAUACGUAGCCGACCUGAGAGGGUGAUCGGCCACACUGGAACUGAGACACGGUCCAGACUCCUACGGGAGGCAGCAGUAGGGAAUCUUCCGCAAUGGGCGAAAGCCUGACGGAGCAACGCCGCGUGAGUGAUGAAGGUCUUCGGAUCGUAAAACUCUGUUAUUAGGGAAGAACAAAUGCGUAAGUAACUGUGCGCGUCUUGACGGUACCUAAUCAGAAAGCCACGGCUAACUACGUG